CUGACCUUAUUGAUGAUUACUACCUGAAUUUGUUGGAUUGGGGAAGCUCCAAUGUUAUUGCAAUAGCUCUUGCAAACACAGUUUAUUUGUGGGAUGCUACUGAUUGUUCUACUUCGGAACUGGCCAGAUUUGAUGUUGAAAGGGGACCUGUUACCAGUGUCAGUUGGGCUAUUGAUGGACGCCACAUUGCCAUUGGACUGGACAAUUCCGAAGUACAGCUAUGGGAUUCAACUGCAAAGCAGUAUCUGAGAACCUUGAGAGGUUGUCACAGAUCACGGGUAGGCUCACUAGCAUGGAACAAUCACAUUCUUACAACUGGAGGAAUGGAUGGCCGCAUUGUAAACAAUGAUGUAAGAAUUAGAUCGCACAUUGUUGAGACGUACAGAGGACAUGAACGCGAGGUUUGUCGGCUUAAGUGGUCAGCCUCAGGGCAGCAAUUAGCAAGUGGAGGAAAUGAUAACCUGCUCCAUAUAUGGGACAACAGAUCAGUGGCACCAACACAGUGGCUUCACAGGCUUGAAGACCAUACAGCUGCUGUAAAAGCCCUUGCUUGGUGUCCUUUCCAGAGAAAUUUGCUUGCUUCUGGUGGAGGUGGGAAUGAUCGGUGCAUAAAGUUCUGGAACACUCACACAGGUGCUUGCCUGAACUCGGUGGACACUGGCUCUCAGGUUUGUGCUUUGCUGUGGAAUAUGAAUGAACGAGAACUGCUUAGCUCACAUGGGUUUACUCAGAAUCAGCUUACUCUUUGGAAAUAUCCAUCAAUGGUUAGAAUUGCAGAACUCACGGGUCAUACGUCUAGAGUCCUUCAUAUGGCUCAGAGCCCAAAUGGUUGCACAGUAGCAUCAGCAGGUGGUGAAACACUGAAAUUAUGGAAUGUUUUUGGGGACCCUGAGGAGGUUAAACCAGCUCCACGACCUCCCAAAGAGCCUUUUGCCCAAGUGAGUCGUAUCCGCUGAACAAGAACAUGAGAACUUACAUCAGAUGGAGAUUUAUGAACCAAAAACUUCAAUAAAGUUUGGGAUGCAGAACUGGAACUUCGAUCAGUACUAUUUUUUUUAGCGCAAGUUGAAAUGAAAUGAAAAGCUUCAGCAAAAGUCUCAAACAGUUGCAGUGCUUACACAAACAGCGAUCUUAGGCCAUAUUCUUUCUCAAUUCCCCUGUAGGAAGAGUGAUGGGAAAUAGGAAAUCUUUGUACUAUUUAGUUAGUAAUGGAUUUCAAGAAAUCCUUGAAAUCAUAGACAUCAAUAAAGCUAGAACUGAUCUCUUUUCCCAGCAAAAUAGAAUUCCAAUUUUGGAAUCACACCCCUGCCCUGAUAUAUGCUUAUGGUUGUCUCGUUGAUCGCUCCGAUUAGGUGACACCAGUAUGCCAAAGAGGCCACCGAAACCGAAGGGGGAACUUUGUUUUUGAAGAAUCAAGUAAUGUGGAGCUGUUGGUGCUGCAGGCAGCAUAAUUAGUACUAGCAUUUGCCUAGAUUCUAUUAUGUCUCAUUUUGAUGACCUAUGUAUUAAACUAGCUUCCUAGCAGCAAUGACAUUGUUAAUGUUCUUCCUUAACACUUCCUGCUUUUUUUGGGUAGUGUGUUCCCUGAAUUUUCAAUCUCCUCUCUAUAAGGUUUCUCUUCCAAGUGUGUUCCCUGAAUACAAUUAUCAUGUUUGUAAUUUUGGUGAUCCAAUUAAAGCUUAUCUUUUGUUUGCCAAAUAAGAAAGUUUUUAUGAGAUUCAGUUUUAAUCUGUGCAUGGUCCAUUGCUUGGUUUUGAUUUGACAAAGAUGUUUUUGCGCUCAUGAUCUCAACUUGGAUUUAUUAAGACAAGGAAUGAUCAUAUAAUCCUCAAUUUUCACACUCCAAUUGAAUUAAGGAACAGAUGCAACAAAAAUUUCCUUUUUCUAAAAAUCUUAUGAAUGAAUUUGGCUCUCUUAAAUCAUAAUAAAUCAUUUCGCAACCGGAAAUCGUACAUGGAUUUUAUUAAGACAAGGAAUGAUAAUAUAAUCCUCAACUCUAUCCCUUGAUUUAUUUCCUGCGCUCAAGAUCUCACCUCCAUCUUCCUCGAUACUGGUCCAACAAAACAAAGGGAAGAUUACUUAGCAUGAUCAAUAUGCAAAUAUUAAUGUAAGCACGAGAUAUAUAAAUUGAGUAAUGCUACAUAUAAUGAAAGCAUGAUCAAUCAUGUACUGUUACAUAUACUCAUAGUUUAAAAUAUCGAUAAUUUUGACGAAAUAUUGAGGAUAUUAUCGUUUUUUUGAGUAGAUGUUUUGGAACGUAUCCAUACACAUAUUGUAUAAAUAUCAAUAAUUUCGCUCACACUUCAGCAACAUUUGGUCCAAAUAUCGAUAUCGUUAUAAUAUCACUAUAAUAUCGAAAAUAUAGAAAAUAUCGAUGUAAUGGAAAAAAGGAAAGAAAAAAAACACAAAGCACACUCGCAGUUCAUGUUUAUGUAUCAGUAAUAGAGAAAGUAAGGAAUAAGAGAAUUUAGGAAUCGAGGAACUACUGAAUCAGUAUGGGAAGAAUCAUUCUCAUUAAGCUGUUUACUAAACAUAUGGAAUUGGCAAAGGAAUGAGGUAGAUUCCCAUUGUUAUUGUUUACUAACUUUCAUGAAUUAGAAUCCAAAUUAAUUUGAUCACUAAAAUGCCCUGAACAUUUUCACCACAACACAUAUAUAAUUCUCAAAUUGGCGAAGGAGACCAAACUAAUCCUGCAGCAAACCAGUAAGGCAGUGUAAACAUAAGGAAUCAAUAUGCUGAACAAGAUGAACAACAGGAGCCCAGUUCAAUGAUAAUGUUAAUAACACAUUUGUCCAGAGCCAAUUUCAAACGAAAAAAUAAACUCCAAUAUAUCUUUCACCUACGUAACUAGUAAACAAUCAAAUAAUAAUAACAUGCAUAAUCUUCAUACGAGUAAAUACAUGGAACUUCUUAGAACUGAGUUUUUAUUUUUUAUAAGGUUGGAGAGUCUUGGAACUUCUUGGCGUGAGUUUUUUUUUUUUUUUUUUUUUUUAAGGUUUGGGGUGUUUUGGAAUUAUGAUAAAGUGGUAAGGGUAUUUUUGGAAGUUACUAAGAGAAAACAGGAAUGGGAAUCGUAUCGACUACUCCCCCCUAGCCGAUAUGAUACCUAGUUUUGAGGGGAUGUGAUUACGGAUUUUGAGGUGGGGUCCACUUAUUUUUUCAUUCUUGAUUGCAAGUAAACGCAAGGGAAGUCAGGAAUAUAAAUCAUUCCCUUUCCUCCCAUACCCAUUAUUGAUACGUAAACAUGCCCGCAAAGGGGAUUCGAACCUCUUCAUAUCCCAUUCCUUUUGGGAUGGAAUCGAGCGGCUCAUGGAAAGAAUCCAAAACCCAAUCUGUAAAUGUUUUAGCUUAUGGACAACGUCAACCAAUCUUGGAUCCAUAUGUAUGGCAUGUUAACAAUUACAUGCAAAACUAUUUUGGAGAUUUAUCAUUUGAUGACUACUCUUCACAAUACACUUAUCCUACACAUAGAGAUGAUGAAGAUAGUGAAAAAUUUGAACCUCAUAGGAACUCUGUGGUACUAAGUCACUCAUGUAAUCUUACCAUGCAAUGUAUAAAGUAUAAAAUAUUGUAGUAAAUCAUUAUAUAUAAAUGAUUAUGGUCUGUAUAAUCUUCUUUCAUUAAUUACUACAUAUUUUCUACACUCACACAGUGUUUGUCAGCUCACUAUAUAAUCAACUUAAAUCCCUUAAACCCAUCAUGCAAUGCAUUUCCUUCCAAAUUCUUGUCAUAAACUAAUAGCUGUUUUUUUUUUUUUAUGGGCUUAAAAAUUCUGGAAAAUAAAAUUCUGAAUUUUUUUGAAAAAACUACCAAAAAAUUCUGGAAAUUUUUUCUAUAAAUACCUACCAAUAUUCUUCACUUUCUUCUCCUUCUAAUAUUAUUCACUUUCUACACAAUUUUCUUCACUUUCAAUUUUCAUUUUUAUUCACUAUCUUAUGGCAUCUUCCAUCGAAGCUAGAGGGAAGUGGACAACCAUGGAAGAUGUUCUGUUGUGUGAGUGUUGGGUCCAAGUUGGUCAUUGUUCGAUUACGGGCAAUGAGAUGAAAUUCUCUCAUAUGUAGAGAAAAAUUCAUGCCGAAUUUUGUGAAAGUUCGAGUUCGGCUUGAACGGAAAUGGCCUUGGCUAGUAGGUGGAAAAUUUUGAAUAAAAAAUUAGGGAAAUGGAGAGAUGUGUUGACAAAAGUAAGGGACAACCAUCGAAGCGGCAAAAAUCUUGGCAAUUAGGUAAAUUAUUUGUAAUUUUCGUUUUAUUAAAUUUAAUGUCUUGAUUUUUUUAAUGUUUCUUGCAUUUCUAUUUUUUUUUAUUAUAAAUGUUUCUUGUAUUUCCUUUAGUUUAUUUUAUUUAUUUAUAAUGUUUCUUCCAUUUUCAAUAUUUUUUAAUAGAUUAUGCAAGCACAAAUGUGGUUCGGUGCUAUUGGGUAAGGCAGAAAAUCUUUCAACCAUCAACAACGUUGAGGUGGUGAAAAAUUGUCUGAGAUUCAAAAUUAUUCACACGGGCCCCACCGUUGUGUUGAACGAGACGCCACUCCAUAAUUAAACGACAUCGGAUUCGCCUUCAGAUUCCUCGAUGAGUCAAGACUCACUAAUCCAAAAUGAGUCGAGGCCUAUUGGGAGAAAGGCGGCGAAGGCUAAGAGAGGGAGUACUUCCACCAAUGAUAUUGCAAAAAUUUUGGAGCAAAUUGCAAGGAACGGCACCAUGAGACAUGAAAAAAAUAUGCGAACGAGAAGGCAAUGAUUGAAGUAUAUGCAAGAGAAAUGGAGUAUAUAUGCAAACAUGACAUUGAGAAGAAGGAUCGGGAAACCAUGGGCAUGGCUACAAGCCAUAUGUCCCUUGAAACAAAAUUAUUUUGGAAGCUAGAACGAAUGGAUGUUAUGAGAAGAUGGCUUUUCCGUGACGAUGGACCUAGCAACACCAAUGGGUUAAAUAAUCAAAACCAUUAGGUUAUUUUGCUUGCCUUUUAUUUAAUUGUAUUGCUUGUUUUUUAAUUGAAGUAGUUGUAUUUCUUGUCUUUAAUUGAAGUAGUUGUAUUUCUUGUCUUUUAUUUAAUUAGUUGUAUUGCUUUUCUUUUAGUGAAUAAAGAAAUCAUUCAAUAAAAUACCUUUUUAUUCAACAUAUUGCAUACAUCAAUCUAAAACAUAAUUAAAAACAAAACACAACCAAAGCAUAAUUCAAACCAAAACACAAACAAAGCAUACAUCAACAUAAACCAAAAUUGAAAACAAAUCAUCGUCACUUGACUUCGUUCACCGUCAUUGCCUCUCACCGCCCAUAAGUAUUCUAUCAAGUCAACUGGAAGUCGUUCAUGAGGAUAAGACGAUUGCAUCUCAGUAUAUCAAUCAAUCAUACGGUUGUUGAAACGAUCAUCCCUAACCAACGGUUCAUGCUCCAGUGGUUGUCCAUUUGCUCUAAUGGGACUUUCAUAAACUCUUGUCAAGGACGUGUUCAUGGGAUCAGGUUCGAACACGUCUGGAGCAUCAUAAUCAUACUUAUCCUCCACAAUCAUGUUAUGGAGGAUAUGCACGUCAUCAUAAUGCUCUGAAGCACCUCCUCAUCAAACAUACUCGCAACACCCCUAAUGAUUGCCCACCGAGCUUAGAGAAUACCAAAACAUCUUUCAACAUCUUUCCUGUACCCCUCUUGAUAGGUAGCGAAUAAUUUUUCCUUCUUCAAUCGGGGAUGCGGAAUUGUUUUGACAAAUGUAAUCCAUCUCGGGCAAAUGUCGUGUGCUAGAUAAUAUCCAUUCUAGUAGACGGUAUUGUUGAUUUCAUAGGUGAUAUUCGAGGCUUGACAUCUGAAGACAUUGUUGAAUACCAAGGAUUAACCCAACAUGUUCAUGUCAUUUUGAGAUUCGAAAACUCCGAAAAAGGCAUGUCAAACUCAUGUAUCUAAUCUAGCAACGACUUCCAGAAUGAUACUUUUUUGCUAUUUCCUAUUCUCAUAAUCUCCUUGCCCCACAGUUGGGCAAUUUUCUAUUGUUAGUGCAUACAGUCGAUGUUUCCAAUCAUGCCUGGAAAACCUUGAGCUUCAGCUUUUUGUUGAUGCCUUUGGAGGCCCCUAGGCGUAGGUUUGCAGAGGUAGUCCCUAGUGUAGAGAGUUUCAAUUGCCUCUCCAAGCAUCUCCUUAUAUCUGACAUUUAGAGUGGAGUAUGAAAUCUAAAAUUUGAAAAAUGGAAAGAUAGAGAAGAUAUGGUGUGAGAGGUAUGAGUUGAGCCUUUGGUUUUAUAGAGAGAUUUAGAAGAUAGACAUGACACGUGGCGCGAUUUUAGAGGGUGAAAAUCUUAUCUAAAAUAUGAGAUUUGUAUUUUAUAAUAAAUAUCGACACGUGGCACCCAAAAAUCUUAUCCUAAAAUCUUAUCUGAAAUUUGAUAUUUAUAUUUUAUAAUAAACAUCGACACAUGGCAACCAAAAAUCUUAUCCGACAAUCUUCUAAAAAAAUUGACACAUGGCAAUAUUUUAUAAUAAAUAUUGACAUGCGAGAACCGAAAAUCUUAUCCGAAAUCUUCUCCAAAUUAAUUGUUUAGGUAAAAAAUAAAUUAUAACUAAAAGUGAAUAGUAUUUGCCCUUUGCCAUGGGCAAUGGAUGGAAAUUGAUAUUUGCAGGAUAUUUGAUAUUUACUCUCUCUCUCUCUCUCUCUCUGUGCAUAAUAAAUAUUGACACGUGGGAACUGAAAACCAAAUUAAUUAUUUAGAUAAAAAAAAAAAUUUAAAACUAAAAGUGAAUAGUAUUUGCUAUUUGCCAUCGGUAAUGGAUGGAAUCUGAUAUUUGUGUUGUAAAGAAGAAACAUGUGGAGCCCACAUUUAUGGGGCCCACAAAGAAAUUAAGCAAAUAUUUGGAGGUUUAUCAGCUGCACACUCAUGGAUGUGUAUUGUAGAAUCACGGGUGCCAUUUAACAUGUCUAUAAAUAGAGAAAGAAGAAAAGGAAAAGAAGAAGAGAGAAAGAGAUAGGAAACGGAAAGAAGAAAAGGAAAGGAGGAAAGAGAGAGAAGAGGAAAGAAGAGGGUAAGUAAGCAGAGAGAAAAUUCAGUGAGUCACACAUAUUGUAAACACUAUUGUAGUCAUAUUAUUAUAUAGUGAAAAGUUACUGUUGCUGCUCUCCGAGGACGUAGGCGUAGCCGAACCUCGUUAAAUACUGUGUCUCAUCUACUUUACGUGCAGCUCAAAAUUCGCACAUAUCCCAGGUUAUUUUAUAACACGUUAUCAGCACGAUAGUCUCUCCUUUUAUUUCUGAAAUUUUUCCAACUCAACACUAUAUAAUAUACUAUAUUUAUCUGCUUCUCUAUUACUAACCAUUAACAAAAAUGGACCCUUGGUAAUACUAAACAUAUUAUCAGUGGGAGACCGUUACUAAUACUAACUUUUUUUUUUCUUAUUCGGUGGUGGUUUUAACCCCACAUUUAAUUUUAUUUAUGGUAUGGUGUAGGCUUAUUACCCAUACGGCAAUAUUUAUUUAAAGGGUGGUGCGGGUUUAUCGUCCACGCCUUUACUUUUAUUUAAAUGUAUGGAGCAGAAUUAGUGCCCAUACAAGCACAUUUACUUUACCGCACAUUUAAGGUAUGGUGCGGGUUUAUCGUCCAUACCAGCAAAUUCAUAACACUUUACUUUUAUCAUCAAUUAAUAUACCUAAAUGAUGAGGACCUGAAAUUCCUAUUAAUAAGUGGCUUAAUAUUCCAGAUCUCGAGCCUAAAGUUUUGGAUGACAAAUUUGGCAAAACUAGAGUUUGCUGCCUUGGACCUUUCCGAGGACAACUAUUUAUCAUGGGUCCUGGAUGCCAAAAUUCAUCUACGAGCCAAUGGCCUCGGACAAACAAUUGUAGAUGAGAAUGAUGCUUCGCCUGAAGAGAAUGCGAAGGCCAUGAUCUUUCUUCGCCGCCACAUCCAUGAAGCGCUGAAGAGCGAAUAUGUGGUGGUUGAUGAACCGUUGGUUCUGUGGAAAGCUCUAGGUGAAAGAUACGAUCACCAGAAGACGGUGACUCUCCCAAGAGCUAGAUACGAAUGGACCCACUUGAGAUUUCAAGAUUUCAAGUCAGUUUCCGAGUAUAACUCUGCUAUGCACAGAAUUACCUCAUUAAUGAGGCUAUGUGGGGAAAAUAUAUCUGAUGAGGAUAUGCUCGAAAAAACUCUGAGCACUUUUCAUGCUUCAAAUGUCCUCCUUCAGCAGCAAUACAGACAUAGCGGUUUCAAGAAGUACUCGGAACUUGUAUCUUGCCUCUUGUUAGCUGAGCAGAAUAAUGUGAGCUCUUAUUAAAGAAUCACCAAUCUCACCCAACGGGCUCAGCACCACUUCCUGAAAUAAAUGCUGCAUCUCAGGAAGUGAAUGCCACUUCAUCUCGUGGCAGUAUCUACAAACGUGAGCGAGGGGGCAAGCGUGGCCACUGGCAAGGAAGUAGAAAAAAUCGUGGUGCUCAUUCACAGGGUUUAGGUCCAAGGAGCGGUCCAUCCACGAAUGGCAAAAAUGCAUCCCGUAAUAAGGGAAAGGCACAGAUGAGCCAUGUGCCUAGAAAUGUUGAAAGCCCUUGUCACAGAUGUGGUGCAAAGGGACAUUGGGUGCGCGCAUGUCGUACGCCCAGGCAUUUGGCGGAUCUCUAUCAAGCUUCACUUAAGAACAGGAAAGUGGAGAUAAAUUACAUUGACCAUGCUCCGCCAGCCACAGAUGGCUCAUCAGAAAUAUCACGUCAGCUAAACAAGACGCAUCUAGAUGUUUCUGAUUUUGUUACUGAAAGAGGGAAUGAAGGUUAUGUGUCCGAAUUAGAUUAAAUUCCUUAAUAUACUAUUUGUAUUAGCUGAAGUGUUGUUUAAAUUUCAAUCCAAUAAAAGUGGUAAUGUUUUCUUCUUUAUUGAUCCCAGCUUAUUUUACUUAUUUGGUGGCAUGGAUGCAAAUUAUGGAUGCCCUCAAAACAAAGGCUAUGGCAGAGAUAUUUGUCUUGCAGACAGCGCAACUACUCAUACGAUCCUUCAAGAUCGGAAGUAUUUCUCAAAAUUAAUGCUUACAAAAGCAAAGGUAACAACCAUAUCAGGUCCUGCAGAUCUGAUUGAAGGUUCAGGAAUAGCCCAAAUUAUGUUACCAAAUGGAACAAUACUAUCUAUUCCAGAUGCUUUGUAUUCAUCUAACUCCAGAAGGAAUCUGUUGAGUUUCAAAGAUAUACGUUUGAAUGGCUACCAUGUUGAAACAAAGAAAGAGGAAAACAUGGAAUAUCUUUGUAUUACCUCCAGUGAUACUCAAAAGCGUAUACUGGAAAAGCUUUGUGAACUCUCAUCAGGGUUGUAUUACACAACCAUACGGACAAUUGAGGCACAUAGUGUCAUGGACCAAGAGUCCACUAACUCAAAUGCUUUUAAGCUUUGGCAUGACAGGUUGGGUCAUCCUGGAUCCACCAUGAUGCGCAGGAUCAUCACCAACUUUAAAGGACAUCCCUUGUUGACUAAACACAUUAUGUUAUCAAGCGACAUCUUUUGCCAAGCUUGUUCACAAGGGAAGUUGGUGAUCAGACCAUCACAACCAAAGGUUGAUGUUGAGUCUCCAUCAUUUUUGCAGAGAAUUCAAGGGGACAUUUGUAGACCCAUUCAUCCCCCAUGUGGACCAUUUCGGUACUUUAUGGUCUUGGUAGACGCAUCUACCCGAUGGUCACAUGUUUGUCUUUUAUCUACUCGGAAUAUGGCAUUUGCUAGGCUUUUGGCUCAGAUAAUUAAAUUACGAGCCCAAUUCCCAGAUUAUCCCAUUAAGUCAAUCAGACUCGAUAAUGCUGGUGAAUUUACAUCUCAGACUUUUGAUGACUACUGCAUGUCACUAGGCAUUGAUAUUGAACAUCCUGUUCCCUAUGUGCAUACUCAAAAUGGCUUGGCAGAAGCUUUAAUUAAACACCUUCAAUUGAUAGCACGCACUUUGCUAAUGAAAACAAAGUUGCCAGUUUCUGCUUGGGGAUAUGCCAUUUUACAUGCAGCAUCGCUUGUGCGAUUGAGGCCCGUCACCAACAAUCAAUGUUCUCCAAUACAACUCGUAUUGGGAAAUCAACCAAACAUUUCACAUUUAAGAAUUUUUGGGUGUGCGGUAUAUGUGCCCAUUGCACCACCGCAACGUACUAAGAUGGGCCCUCAACGCAGAUUGGGAAUUUAUGUUGGUUUUGAUUCACCAUCUAUCAUCAGAUACUUGGCACCCCUGACGGGUGAUAUUUUUACCGCACGAUUUGCGGAUUGUGAUUUUGAUGAGACAAUCUUCCCAUCAUUAGGGGGAGAAAAAUCUGUGUCUAAAGAACAAGGCAAACUCAUUCCUGAAAAACGACAUGAAUUAUCCUGGAAUGUAUCCACAUUGUCUCAUCUCGAUCCUCAUACUGCUCAAUGCGAAAACGAAGUAAGAAGGAUCGUUCACCUCCAAAGUAUUGCCAAUCAGAUGCCAGAUGCAUUUAAUGAUGCAGCAAAGAUGACGAAAUCUCAUAUCCCAGCUGCAAAUGCACCCGCACGGAUUGAUGUCCAUAAUGGACAAAGCAAUGUCCCAGCAAAUGGUUCAUCUGCUGCACGCCUAAAACGUGGCAGACCACUAGGCUCAAAGGAUUCAAUUCCUCGAAAGAGGAAGUUGAUGGACAAAAUGAAUCCAAAUGAAAUAAAUAGAGAGCCCACAAUUCAUAAUUCAAAUGCCCCCAAAGAGGGACAGGUACUUCUUGACAAGGAAAACGUCAUUGGUGAGACAAGUGCCCCUGGAAUGGCAACCGUACCUGAAAGUCAAGAAAUCUCCAUAAAUUAUACGUCCACUGAUGAAUUGUGGAGUAGAAAUGAGAUGAUCAUCGAUGAUAUAUUUGCAUUCUCAGUGGCUGCUGAGAUUAUAAAAGAUGAUGAUAUUGAGCCGUGCUCUAUUAAUGAAUGUACACAGAGGCAAGAUUGGCCCAAGUGGAAAGAUGCAAUCCAGGCAGAAUUAAAUUCUUUGGAAAAAAGGAGUGUUUUUGGACAUAUUAGUCCAACUCCACCCAAUGUGAACCCUGUAGGUUACAAGUGGGUAUUUACAAGAAAGCGCAAUGAGAAAAAUGAGAUCUCAAGGUAUAAAGCGCGACUCGUUGCGCAAGGUUUUUCACAAAGGCCUGGAAUUGAUUAUGUGGAAACGUACUCUCCAGUAAUGGACAAAUUACAUUCCGUUACCUAAUAAGUUUGGCGGUUUCAGAAAAACUUGAAAUGAGACUCAUGUAUGUCAUUACCGCAUAUUUGUAUGGAGAAUUGGAUACAGAUAUAUACAUGAAAGUUCCAGAAGGAUUCAGGUUGCCUGAAGCAGCUAGAAACAAACCACGGGACAUGUUCUCAGUUAAAUUGAGAAAAUCAUUAUAUGGGCUAAAACAAUCUGGACGAAUGUGGUACAAUCGUCUCAGUAAGUAUUUACUGAAGGAAGGAUACACAAAUGAUCCUAUUUGCCCAUGUGUGUUUAUUAAGAAAUCAGAGUCUGGAUUUGCGAUAGUGGCAGUAUAUGUCGACGACAUGAAUCUAAUUGGAACUUCUAAAGAGCUUCAAAAGACUGUUGAUUAUCUCAAACGUGAGUUUGAGAUGAAGGACCUUGGAAAGACAAAAUAUUAUCUUGGCUUGCAGAUUGAGCACAGUGCUAAUGGAAUUUUGGUGCAUCAAUCAACUUAUACUGAGAAAGUAUUGGAACGGUUUGGCAUGGAUAAAGCCCAUCCACUUAGCACUCCAAUGGUCGUUCGAUCGCUUGACACUAAGAAAGACCCAUAUCGUCCAAAAGAGAAUGAUGAAAUGGUCCUUGGUCCAAAAGUACCAUAUCUUAGUGCAAUAGGUGCCUUAUUGUACCUAGCACAAUGUACCAGACCAGACAUAUCAUUCUCAGUAAAUCUGUUAGCAAGGUACAGUUCUGCUCCAACAAGGCGACACUGGACCGGCAUCAAACAUGUUCUACGAUACCUUCGUGGGACAACAGACAUGGGGUUAUUCUAUUCUAGUGAAUCGACCAAUGCCCAGAGUAUUAUUGGUUAUGCUGAUGCAAGAUAUCUCUCUGAUCCACAUCAAGGACGAUCACAGCCUGGGUAUGUAUUUACAUGUGGAGGAACUGCAAUCUCAUGACGCUCAACAAAACAAACAUUAGUGGCCACAUCUUCUAAUCACUCAGAAAUACUUGCCCUCCAUGAAGCCAGUCGUGAAUGCGUUUGGUUAAGGUCGGUAAUCCAUCACAUCCGAAGCACAUGUGCCCUACCCUCAACAAUAGACACUCCAACAAUUCUGAAUGAGGACAAUGCAGCUUGUAUUGCUCAGAUCACAGAAGGAUAUAUCAAGGGUGACAGGACCAAGCACAUAUCACUAAAGUUUUUCUAUACACAUGAGCUCUAGAAGAGUCAAGAAAUCAAAGUCAGACAAAUCCGUUCAAGUGAUAACCUGGCAGAUCUCUUCACUAAAUCAUUGCCGAAAUGUACAUUCCAAAAGUUAGUGCAUGGCAUCGGAUUACGACAACUCUGCAAGCAAUCAAGUUGGAGCAUGCAAAAUCAGGGGGAGCAUUCAAAAGUCCUCUAACAUAGGACAUAUGCACGUUGUACUCUUUUUCCUUCGCUUAGGUUUUUUCCCACUGGGUUUUUCCAAGCAAGGUUUUAAUGAGGCAUCCAAUCUAGGGACAUGUGGUCUCCAAGGGGGAGUGUUGUAAAGAAGAAACAUGUGGAGCCCACAUUUAUGGGGCCCACAAAGAAAUUAAGCAAAUAUUUGGAGGUUUAUCAGCUGCACACUCACGGAUGUGUAUUGUAGAAUCACGGGUGCCAUUUAAUAUGUCUAUAAAUAGAGAAAGAAGAAAAGGAAAAGAAGAAGAGAGAAAGAGAUAGGAAACGGAAAGAAGAAAAGGAAAAGAAGAAGAGAGAAAGAGAUAGGAAACGGAAAGAAGAAAAGGAAAGGAGGAAAGAGAGAGAAGAGGAAAGAAGAGGGUAAGUAAGCAGAGAGAAAAUUCAGUGAGUCACACAUUGUAAACACUAUUGUAGUCAUAUUAUUAUAUAGUGAAAAGUUACUGUUGCUGCUCUCCGAGGACGUAGGCGUAGCCGAACCUCGUUAAAUACUGUGUCUCAUCUACUUUACGUGCAGCUCAAAAUUCGCACAUAUCCCAGGUUAUUUUAUAACAAUUUGCAGGAUAUUUGAUAUUUACUCUCUCUCUCUCUUUUUGUGUGCUUUCUUCAAUCUUUGCUUUCGUUCUUUCUCACGAUUUACGCUUCUUUCUCUGUGUCUAAUUUCUUUGCGUUUUUGAGAUUUUCCACUUCAGAAUCCUAUAACCAAAGGAGUAUCAAUUCAUGGAUGAAGAUGUUGAUUAUGGCCAUGGGGAUUAUAUCUCUGAACCUUAUGAGUUUCUUGCUCGGAAUCUAAGGCUUGUGCUUCCAUGGAAGGUAAAAGCCCUAAUCUUGGUUGUGACUUUGAGUACGAUAACUCUGAUGUGGGUUCAAUUUUUUAUCCAUAUUCUACACAUGAAAGUGAAGAUGGUUAUGAGACAUUUAGCCCAAAAAGUGAUGAUUUUAACCUAUCUCUGGAUGAUUCAAGAGAUGAUUCAAGCUCUACCCAUCAUCAAGAGGAUGAUCAUGAGCAUGAAAUUCAAGAACUUGAUGGAAUCCUAGAACUAGAUGAGUUUGAACUCAUGGUUGAAGAUGAUUAUGGUGAUAUCUCUGUAUCUGAUGAAUAUUCUGGUUCUGAAAUUAAUCCCCAAUAUGACCAAUUUGAGUAUGAGAGCUCUAGGGUUGAUUCAAUCUGUGAUUCAUGUGAUGCCCAUGAAAGUGAACCAGGUCAUGAGAGACACAAUUCACAAAGUGGUUGCUAUACUCCACAUCGGGAUGAUUCGAGCUCUACCCAUCAUCAAGAUGAUGAUAAUGAGCAAGAAAGCGAUGAACUUGACGCUUCAUUCUGCCCUGCAAGUCCAGAACCAUCCUCUCCACCAGACUUGCUUUCUAUUUUGACUUCAAGUUGUGCUUGAAGAUGGCAAGAGAGCCAGUUGUGACUUCAUGUGGUCAUUUGUUUUGUCGGGAUUGUUUGGACAAAUGGCUGCUCUUUCACGUCUCAGAUAAAGUGCCCUGUUUGUCAUAGUAAGGUGCUUGAUUCAUCGAUUGUUCCGAUCAGGCCGACACCUGUAUGCAACAUAGACCUGGAUUAUGGCUUGAAUUUGUCACCAAGACCAAAUGGGGGACUUUACUUUUGAACAUUUGGUUAAUGUGGAGAGCUUUUGGUGAUGCAGGAAACUUAAUUAGUACAAGCUAGUAACUUAUGCCCCCUUUCCAAGAUAUAUAUUGUGAAUUUUGUUAGUCUAUGCAACUACAACUAUUGCAGCUUAUGAAUUAGGCCCAGUUUGAAAUUGCUGUCAUUUUUUUUAAAAAAAGUUACUUCUAUUGUGCUUUGAAAAUAAUUAGUUGUAAAAUAAAGCAGUUCCAUGUUUCGUAAACAAUAUUUUUAAAGUAUUGUUAGUACAAAAAGCAGUGUCAAUAUUGUUUGGUAAAUUUUAAUAUAAAACUGUUGUAACUGUGAAUAAUGACUAAAAUAGAUAUGAUGUUAAAAGUGUUAUGUACUAAUCAUGUGGUGGUAGUGAUGGAGUGGAGGUGGUAGUGGUGAUGAAGGUGGAGUUGGUGACUGUGGUAGUGGUAGUGGUAGUGGUGGGGAUGUCGCUUGUGGAGGAGCUGGUGAUGAUGGUGGUAGUGGCAACAUGGUGGUGUUGGUUGUGGAGGUGGUGGUGGAGGUGGAAGAGCUGGUGGUGGAAAUGGUGCAGUAGGAGGAGGUGGUGGUGGCGGUGGUUGUGGAGGUAGUGAAUGUGGUGAUGCAAGUGGUGGAGUUGGACAUGGAAGUGGAGGUGGUGUCAUUUUUAAAAAGAGUAAUGCUACACAUACUAUAUUUUUAUUCCACAUUUCUAUGCCACAUGACGUGACAUGUCCAUAUUAUAUGCUACAUUAAUUAAAUCAAUGAAGUGUAUUUUUAUUAAUACAAUUAGAAAAACAAAUACAGGAAUAAAUCAUAAAAGAAAAGAAAAUAUUAAAUAUUUUUAAUUAAUGUGGCUAUUCACUUUAAUUGUCACAUAAGAUGGUAUAAGGAUGUGGUAUACAAAUAUGAUAAGAAUAACAUUAUUUUUCUUGUUCAGUAUUUUACUUUCCUAAUUUUUCCUUAAAUAUCACACAAAUGUAUUUAUUUAUUUAUUAAGUGGCCCUCUUAAAUUAUAAUUAAUCAUUAUUUUAACAAAUCAAACAGAUAUUCUAUUAAGACGAAUAAAUAUCAUAACAUAACGAGAGUGUUGUAAAGUAUAAAGUAGUGGAGCCCACUUACUAUUUGUUUGUAGACUUUGGUGCAUGAGUUUAUUCACGGGUGAAUAGUGAAUAGUGAAGAUGAAUCACGGGUGCCAUUUAUCAAUGCCUAUAAAUAGGCAACCUGCAAAGUGAAAGGGAAGAGAAGAAAAGAAGAGAAAGGGAGAAACGGAAAAAGAAGAGGAAAGAAAGAAGGGAAAAGAGAAAAGAAGAGAAAGGGAAACGGAAAGAAACAAAGAGAGGAAAGAGAAGAGAGGAAAGAGAGAAGAGGAAAGAGAGAAAAGGAAAGAGACAAGAGGAAGAGAAGGAAGAAAGAGGAAAGAGAGAGCAGAGAGAAAUUCUCCUAGAGAGAAAAUUCAGUGAGCCACACAUGUUGUAAACACUAAAGUUGUAGCCAUAUUAUUUUAUAUAGUGAAAAGUUACUGCUGCUGCUCUCCGAGGACAUAGGCAUAGCCGAACCUCGUUAAAUGCUGUGUCUCAUCUACUUUACGUGCAGCUCAAUAUUCGUACAUAUUCCAGGUCAUUUUAUAACACGUUAUCAGCACGAGAAGCUCUCAGCGCCUUGGCCUCUGCAAAGUUCAUGAAUGACAACAACUAGUACUAACUGGAAAAAGAAGAUGCGGGUGGCUUUACUUGGGCUUUGAUUGCAAUUGGUCAAAAAGAAACAACAUCGAAAGGAUAAGUUGCUCCUUAUGCUUUCUAUUAUUUUAUUAUUUCUCUACACAACAAGUUCAACUUAAUUGCAAGUGGAAAGAAGAAAAGCCAACAUGAUAUGUCUAGCUUUCAAACUAAUAUAUUAGUAUAAAAUAUUAUAUUAUUAUAUGAUCAAUUUUGGUGGGUAAAGUUAAUAGUUUAUAUGUGGCUACAGCAAGGGCAUAGCUUUGGGUGCUGAAGAGUAUUGGUACCUUUUGUUUUCGUCCACACAGCUUUCUCAGGGAAGUGCUAAAGCAAAGCUCUCUGCCUCCUUAUUCUUUCAAUUAUUUCAUUAUUAUCCUACACUAUUUAACACCAAUAUUAGUACAGGUGUGCUGGUUACAAGUGGAAAGGCAGAGCAAGCGUGAUAUUUGUCUAUCAUGCACUAGUUUCCUUCGCUUGCCUAUUAUAUACUCUAUAUAAUCUAUUUAUAUAGUAAUUCUAUGGACUGUUUAACCCCAUAUAUUUUUAGUGGUGGUUUUGUCCCCACAUUUAAUUUAUUUACUGUAUGGUGUAGGUUUAUUACCCAUACGACAAUAUUUAAAGGGUGGUGCGGGUUUAUCGUCCACGCCUUUGCUUAUUUAUUUUAUUUAUGGUAUGGUGUAGGUUUAUUACCCAUACGACAAUAUUUAAAGGGUGGUGCGGGUUUAUCGUCCACGCCUUUGCUUAUUUAUUUUAUUUAUGGUAUGGUGUAGGUUUAUUACCCAUACGGCAAUAUUUAAAGGGUGGUGUGGGUUUAUCGUCCACGCCUUUGCUUUUAUUUAAAUGUAUGGAGCAGAAUUAGUGCCCAUACAAGCACGUUUACUUUACCGCACAUUUAAUUUUAUUUAAGGUAUGGUGCGGGAUUAACGUCCAUACAGCAAGCUAUUUAAUUUAUGUAAGGUAUGGUGCGGGAUUAACGUCCAUAAAGCAAGCAAUUUAAUUUAUGAAUUUAUUUUACCGCACAUUUACAUUUAUUUAAAGUAUGGUGCGGGUUUAUCGUCCAUACCAGUAAUUUAUUUAUCAGCAAUUUAUUUUAUGGAUUAAUUGUGCUGUAUGAUGAGUUUUUACAGUAUGCAGAUCAGGACCAGAAGUUCCUUGAUCCUCAUCAUACAAUUACAUCAGGACUUGAAGAUCCUUGAUGAUGAUAUUAAUAUGAGAGCUGUCAAUCUCUCCGGUACUGUAUUUGUAAACAUGUGAUCGGACUUAAGGGUCCUUGAUCCCUGACAUGUAAAUAAGGACCUAGAGUUCCUUAAUGAUGUAACAGUACCGUAUUGGUUCAUAGUGCCGUACACAUUGAUGAUAACUGUACUGGCAGAUGAAUAGAUACGUAUUCAUGACUUGAUGAAUAGUACUAUUCACAUGAAUAGUGACGUAUGCAUAAAUAUGAACCAUUUUGGGUAAACCGUCACUGUAUACAAAAGGGAACCUGCAGUUCCUUAAACUCAUGGAUGAGCAAUUAAAUGAGAUGCCAGAAGUUCCUCAAAAUAUGGACAAUUAUGUAAGGGCUUGAAGUCCCGAAAUAUGUACAGAAAAUUGUAAAAAUGUCCAUACUAUGAGAAUAUGUGGCUUUGGCCUGAAGUUCAAAAUUUAACAGUGUUGAGAACCUGAAGUUCCAACAAUUAAAUGGACAACCCUUGAGGUAUUAUUGCAAAUUGUGGUAUGCCACAUAUUUCUUUGGCAUAAGAAGAUGAUGAAUUUAAAGUUCGAUUUUGUUAUAAUCGACACCUCAAGGAAAAAAUAUAUUUUGUAAAUUUCGGUUGUUAAGAAUACACCGCGAAAUGGAUAAUAUUAAUAUAAACCUCAAAUAAUGAAUUGAGGCUCCCCACAUAUUUUGUUAUAUCUGGGCCGGAAGCCCAUGGAUCCAAAUAUAUGAGAGAUCCUGAACUUGAAGUUGUGGGUAUAUAGUAGUUAAUGCUCUUCACUACUAUAUUGUGAUAUUAUCAUGGCUUUUACUCAAUUCAUAUUUCAUGUCCAUUUGAAAAGGGCAAAUAAAUUCUGAGUUUGUGUUUAGCCCAAGACAAAAGUUCCGGGCUCCCAUACGUUGAAAUAUGAAAUUUGGGAAAGUCGAUGUGGUUAUUUGAACCUAUAAGGCACAAGGUUCCAAACCGUCAUUUUGAAAAGACGUAAAAACCACAGGUGCAAAUUUUAAGAAUGUGCGCAAUUAUUAUAACAGGAAAGGAGCAAGUUGAAACGCAGUUGCUCCAAUCAAGUUUUGCAAAGGCCAUAUCUAUAGGAGGAAAUAUGGCUACAGUUUCCAGGAUCCCAAUAUUAUCUCAGAUCCCCAUAUUAUCUUUUUCUUUCCCAGAGUCCAAAACUUCACGUGGCCUCUGAUAAUGCAUGUCGGCACUUUCGGCGUUUGCAAGUAUUAUUUUUGUCAAAAGCCGAUCUUGCUUUGCAGAUUUCACGGAGCUACUUUUUCAAAAGUAUCCCGAGAAUCUCCCAAUUUUCCUAUGGUUAAUUUGAAAUUCACCGGUUCUACCUAUUCAUUGUAUUUGUGUAUAAAUGUGUUACUAACAAAAUUUUCUUUGCAGAAGACAUCCAGUUUUCUCCAUACCUAGUGAUGCGAUAUCUACUUGUUUUUCUUAUCAGUGAGCACUUAAUAUGCCCGAGAAGCAAGACUAUCUCUGAUCAUCCAUUCAGGAAGUGAGACUAUCCCUGAUCACGUUUCCGCCACAUCAGGGAACUGUGAAGGCGACCUUAUGCUCUAAUCUCCGGAAGUUCUUCUAGACUAGGAGAAAUGAGAGCUGGUUGUUUGCUCCCACCAGCUUCCUUCCUUGAUUGCUGAGCUUGUUGUCUGCUCCCACCAGCUUCCUUCCCUGAUUGCUUACCUUCUCUUGCAAUCAAUAUCACAUUAUUUUUGCAUUUUUUUCUCUUUUUAUAACUCUCUGUUCAUAAGAGAUUUUAUUUCUUUAGAAUGAACAUCUGAAGAAUGAAUCCAUGCAGUGAUCCUAACUCUGAGAGUUAUUUGUUUUUGACAGAGAAGAGAAUUGUGAUUUUUGCUCUUGCAGGAUAUAACAAGAUCAUCAAGCGAUACUUUAUAUUUACUGGGCCGAUACGAGCUUGAAUGAUACUUGAGAAAAGUUUCUCCCAUCUAAGGAUGUAAGCAAUACUUGUGUUAUUUUAUGCUUAUAUACCUAUUUGAUAUUUUAUCUUGAAAGGUAACCAAAUGGGGAGAUAAGUCCGUUCCAAAAGAAUGGCUUGUAUGUAUCCAUGAAUUACUAACGCAAAUUUUACAGAUUGCAAGUUGGAUACAUUGAUAAUACACUGCACAGAUUAAAGUCCCAUAAGAACAGAAUAUGGGUAUAGCAGUGAUCAAUAUGAUGCACGCCUGUUGCGUAGCAAAUGAUGUGGAUUGAAGUCCCGAAAGGACAAUCCUUUGACAUGUCAAUAUUGAUAUUAUGCACGCCUAAUGCGUAGCAAAUUAUAUGGGUUAAAGUCCCAUAAUAUGGGUUAAAGUCCCAUAAAUUAAUUAACAUGUAUGUAUUAAUCUGUGGCAUGCCUGCAGCAUGACAGAUAUAUGGGUUCUAAAUGUUCCAACUCCCUAAAUGGAGAUUAUCCACGCCCUACUAUAAAAUAACGCUCCAUUGGAGGUUAUAAUCCACAUUCUCACAUAAUAAAAGCCCCCUGCAGUGGCUUGGGUACCCAAAAGUAAAGAAAUGUUUAUAAUUGAUGCAUGCGCAUGCAAAUGAGAAUGGUGGGAUCAUGAAUUGAUGAAUAACAAUUUUUGAUUUUGGAGUAACUACUCAAAUCAUCAAUGGGCUGUGUUGAUUGGAACCACGUUCAAUUAUUAAAUGUCGACAAUAUCAUUGGCCAAAAUGGAAUGAGGUAAUUCCAUUAUAGAUAAGAAUGAACGUGAAGGAACAACCCACAAUACGAACCCCAAAAUUUGUUAAUACUGAAUGUUAUACUUAGGUGUUCGGAAUAAAAGAGAAUAUACCUACUUCGUAUGACACAAUGUUUCUGGCAGAAACAAGGAAUGUUGGGUUUUCUCCAUAUUUAUGGAUUCAAUUGUGCCCCUUUAUUGCACAUUUACGGAGACCAACAUGUUAUCUUUAAGGGUUAUUAAAUGCACAGAGCAUAUCACCUGAAGUGAUUUCCUAAAGAUGUAUAAAUAGCUGGGUUAAAGCUAUAUAAUGUGUCAUAAAGUUUAAUCCCUUUUAAACAAAAUCCGUUGAGAGGAUUGACAUUGCAUAAAGCAAGUCCCUAAAGGACAUGUGCUUGAAGCACAAAAUUUGUACUCAAUAUUAAUAUGCAUAAAUUACCUCAGUGAGUACAUUGAUGUGAUUGCAACACAUUAAAGAUUCUGCAGAAUUCAAGAAAUAUUUGUCUCGACUUAAGGAUCGAGCAUUAUACUAACGAGAUUCUUGCUUAUACUAAGAAAGUAUUGAAGCAUUUUUAUGAGGAUUAUCCGUUGGACACUUUAAGGAUUUUCCGGAAGUAUAUUCGACCGGACAUCAUAUUUUCCAGAUAGGGCUCAACUCCAUCACCAUCAUUUUGGGAUGAUGUUAGGUAUAUUUGAUGCUAUUUUCGCAUAACACCAUGUAUGGGCAUAUUCUUUCAAGUGAACUUAUAAAUAGCCCAAGCGUUAUUAGAUAUGCGGACUCUGAAAAUUUCUAUGAUUUACAUAGAGAUAGCUCACUGGAAAUAUAUUUACUUACUCAACUAUGAGAAUUGUUAAUGGCUACAUCCUCCACUCACUCCAAAAGAUAGUCAUGAAGACAUCAGGGGGAGAUAUUAAUCAGGGGGAGCAUCCAGAAGUAUGCUAUACAGAUUGUUGUACUCUUCUUUCUUCCUUCCAUCAGUUCUCUACCUUAUUAGGUUUUCUCCAAGCAAAUCUGAUGAAGCAACUGACAUAUUAUUUGUGGUCUCCAAGGGGGAGUGUUGUAAAGUAUAAAGUAGUGGAGCCCACUUACUAUUUGUUUGUAGACUUUGGUGCAUGAGUUUAUUCACGGGUGAAUAGUGAAUAGUGAAGAUGAAUCACGGGUGCCAUUUAUCAAUGCCUAUAAAUAGGCAACCUGCAAAGUGAAAGGGAAGAGAAGAAAAGAAGAGAAAGGGAGAAACGGAAAAAGAAGAGGAAAGAAACAAAGAAGAGGAAAGAAAGAAGAGAGAUAGAAAAGAAGAGAAAAGAGGAAAGAAAGAAGGGAAAAGAGAAAAGAAGAGAAAGGGAAACGGAAAGAAACAAAUAGAGGAAAGAGAAGAGAGGAAAGAGAGAAGAGGAAAGAGAGAAAAGGAAAGAGACAAGAGGAAGAGAAGGAAGAAAGAGGAAAGAGAGAGCAGAGAGAAAUUCUCCUAGAGAGAAAAUUCAGUGAGCCACACAUGUUGUAAACACUAAAGUUGUAGCCAUAUUAUUUUAUAUAGUGAAAAGUUACUGCUGCUGCUCUCCGAGGACGUAGGCAUAGCCGAACCUCGUUAAAUGUUGUGUCUCAUCUACUUUACGUGCAGCUCAAUAUUCGUACAUAUUCCAGGUCAUUUUAUAACAGAGAGCAGUUUGGGCGUUCGCUCAACAUUUUUAUUCGCCUUCGACGCUAACUCGACGCGUAUUCGAUGCUUAUUCUACGCGUAUUCGACGGAAUAUAAUACGAUCGUCGUCACCGCGAAACAUAGGACUCGAUUUUGAAAUCACAUCCAACCCAAUCCGCUCUCUGAUCUUAACAAAAAUUAGAAACUCUACAAUUUACGCUCAGUGGCCGUCGACUUCGCUCUUGUCUUGAUUAGCGCUUCAAUUCUCUUCAGUUCUCUGAAUUCGUUUUGGGCGUUUUCUGGGUUUGAUUCGGUUUUCGGCGGGCUUCCAUCUUUGGCUUAAAUGGCUGCCGGAAACCCUAGUUUUCCAACGGUCAGAGAUUAAAACCCACUAUUCAAUUUCCGUUCCUUUUGUGUAUUCUUAUAUAAUUUACUUUUGGGUUUAUUGAAUUGAACCUAACGAGUUGUUUGCAGGCAUUAAUUUUGUGCACCCGUUAAUCUACUUGCUGGGUUUUUCAUAUUCGCUCUGCGUCUUUUUUGUUUGGGUUUUGCAUACUGAGUGAUCCAUUUGCAGGAGUUCUUAUUUUUUGCGUAUUGUUUUGUUGGAUAUUUGCAGGAUAUUUGAUCUUUACUCUCUCUCUCUCUCUCUCUCUCUCUCUCUCUCUCUCUCUCUGCUUUUUUGUUAUUGUUUUCAUUUUUCACAUAUAUAUUAUCUUGUGGCAUCUUAACAUAACAAUGAGGUCUAGAUGCCCUCUUGAAGAACGGCUUCUUCAGAAAAGGAAUUCUCGGGAAAAUUUGGACAGGUUCAUACCAAAUAGGUCUGCAAUGGAUUUUGAUUUUGCGCAUUACAUGCUUACUCAAGGUAGGAAAGGUAAGGAAAACCCAUCUAGAUAUGGAAGAGACUAUAGGAAGCAGUUGGCAAAGGCAAUGAACAUGAAUCGCACUAGAAUCCUCGCUUUCAAAAACAAGCCUUCUCCCCCUGUAGCCCUGUAGAGCUCUUCCCGAGAAACUUCUCUUCUUUCCCACAGGAUAAACCGGCGAACUCUAAGCCACAGAGACACAUUCCUCAAACUCCGGAGACAACACUGGAUGCUCCUCACCUUAUUGAUGAUUAUUACCUGAAUUUGUUGGAUUGGGGAAGCUCCAAUGUUAUCGCAAUAGCUCUUGCAGACAGUUUAUUUGUGGGAUGCUACUGAUCAUUCUAAUUCGGAAGCGGUCACAUUUGAGGUUGAAAUGGGACCUGUUACCAGUGUCAGUUGGGCUGUUGAUGGACGCCACAUUGCCAUUGGACUGGACAAUUCCGAAGUACAGCUAUGGGAUUCAACUGCAAAGCAGUAUCUGAGAAC
rnacentral:lncRNA from 1 species